ensembl:misc_RNA Metazoa_SRP Metazoan signal recognition particle RNA
ACCAGGCAUGGCAUGUGCCUGUAGUCCCAGCUACCUGGAAGGCUGUGGCAUGAGGAUCCCUUAAAUCCAGGAGUUCUGGGCCAUGGUGCCCUAUGUAUGUCAGGUGUCCACACUAAGUUCUGUAUCACUAAGGUGACCUCCCUGGAGUGGGGACCAACAGGUUGCCUAAGGAGGUGUGAACCGGCCCAGGUAGAAAACACAGCAGGUCAAAACAAUCCUGCUGAUUAGGAGCAAGAUUAUACCACUGGAUUCCAGCCUGAGCAACAUAACUGGACCCUGUCUUUU